GAACGGGGGUACAAUACCCUAGUGGCAGACGGGUGAGUAACACGUGAUCAACCUACCGUCGAGUGGGGGAUAACCAGCCGAAAGGUUGGCUAAUACCGCAUGACACGUUGCCGGGCAUCCGGCAAUGUUGAAAGGAGCAAUUCGCUCGAUGACGGGAUCGCGUCCCAUUAGCUAGUUGGUGAGGUAAUGGCCCACCAAGGCUCCGAUGGGUAGCUGGUUUGAGAGAGCGACCAGCCACACUGGGACUGAGACACGGCCCAGACUCCUACGGGAGGCAGCAGUGGGGAAUAUUGGACAAUGGGCGCAAGCCUGAUCCAGCCAUGCCGCGUGGGUGAUGAAGGCCCUAGGGUUGUAAAGCCCUUUCGGCGGGGAAGAUAAUGACGGUACCCGCAGAAGAAGCCCCGGCUAACUUCGUGCCAGCAGCCGCGGUAAU
rnacentral:rRNA from 1 species